GAGUUUGAUCCUGGCUCAGGACGAACGCCGGCGGCGUGCUUAACACAUGCAAGUCGAACGGAGCGAAUGAAAGCUUGCUUUUAUGAGCUUAGUGGCAAACGGGUGAGUAACACGUAGACAACCUGCCGACAGGAUGGGGACAACAUUCCGAAAGGAAUGCUAAUACCGAAUGAAGUGCAGGGGAGGCAUCUCCCCUGCAUGAAAGAUGGCCUCUGAAUAUGCUAUCACCUGUUGAUGGGUCUGCGUCUGAUUAGCUAGUUGGUGAGGUAACGGCUCACCAAGGCGACGAUCAGUAGCCGGUCUGAGAGGAUGAACGGCCACAUUGGGACUGAGACACGGCCCAGACUCCUACGGGAGGCAGCAGUGGGGAAUCUUCCGCAAUGGGCGCAAGCCUGACGGAGCAACGCCGCGUGAGUGAAGAAGGUCUUCGGAUCGUAAAGCUCUGUUGAUGGGGACGAACGUGCGAAGGGUGAAUAAUCCUUUGUAAUGACGGUACCUAUCGAGGAAGCCACGGCUAACUACGUGCCAGCAGCCGCGGUAAUACGUAGGUGGCGAGCGUUGUCCGGAAUCAUUGGGCGUAAAGGGAGCGCAGGCGGGCAUGUAAGUCUUUCUUAAAAGUUCGGGGCUCAACCCCGUGAUGGGAAAGAAA
rnacentral:rRNA from 1 species